rnacentral:rRNA from 1 species
CCUACGGGUGGCUGCAGUAGGGAAUAUUGCUCAAUGGGGGCAACCCUGAAGCAGCAACGCCGCGUGGAGGAAGAAGGUUUUAGGAUUGUAAACUCCUUUUGUGAGAGAAGAUAAUGACGGUAUCUCACGAAUAAGCAUCGGCUAACUCCGUGCCAGCAGCCGCGGUAAUACGGAGGGAGCAAGAGUUACUCGGAAUCACUGGGCGUAAAGGGUGUGCAGGCGGGCUUGUAAGUCCGAUGUGAAAACCUGUAGCUUAACUACAGAACUGCAUUUGAAACUAUGAGUCUAGAGUGAGGGAGAGGUAGGUGGAAUUCUUGGUGUAGAGGUAAAAUGCGUAGAUAUCAAGAGGAAUACUCAUUGCGAAGGCGGCCUACUGGAACAUAACUGACGCUCAUGCACGAAAGCGUGGGGAGCGAACAGGAUUAGAUACCCUUGUAGUC